ACUCAGUUGUGGUUGAACUGUUUACUAUGAGAGUAUGACAGUGCACGGUCAAUGCAGUCUCUCUAACUGCUAAUAUUGGACAUGUUGAUUGAUCUUUCUCCCAGCGCCAGCAGAUGUUUCCUGAUGGGAGUACUAGUGAUCUAAAGCUGGAGGUGGCCCUUCAAUCAUCGACAAGUCAAAAUGCAUCCAUGUUCAUCACAAGCAACCAAGGCGCCGACACCCGCCAGUGCAUCGGUGCGGGAGGAACAUUCAAUCCCUUCAACAUGACAUCAAUGGUGAGACCGGCCUGUCUCUGCUUUAACUUCUGCGCUUCUUCUCUUGAUUCUGAAAGCUCUGGAAGGCUGAUAC
rnacentral:lncRNA from 1 species